UACGGAGGAUCCGAGCGUUAUCCGGAUUUAUUGGGUUUAAAGGGUGCGCAGGCGGAAGAUUAAGUCGGUGGUGAAAUUUUGCAGCUCAACUGUAACAGUGCCGUUGAUACUGGGGAGCUAGGAUUUGGUUGCUGUGGGUGGAAUGUGUGGUGUAGCGGUGAAAUGCUUAGAGAUCACACAGAAUAUCGAUUGCGAAGGCAGCUCACAAAGCCAAGAUUGACGCUGAGGCACGAAAGUGUGGGGAUCAAACA
rnacentral:rRNA from 1 species